GACGAACGCUGGCGGCGUGCUUAACACAUGCAAGUCGAACGGAAAGGCCCUGCUUGCCGGGUACUCGAGUGGCGAACGGGUGAGUAACACGUGGGUGAUCUGCCCUGCACUUCGGGAUAAGCCUGGUAAACUGGGUCUAAUACCGGAUAGGAGCCAUUUUUAGUGGGAUGGUUGGAAAGUUUUUUCGGUGUAGGAUGAGCUCGCGGCCUAUCAGCUUGUUGGUGGGGUAAUGGCCUACCAAGGCGGCGACGGGUAGCCGGACUGAGAGGGUGGACGGCCACAUUGGGGCUGAGGGACGGCCCCGACUCCUACGGGAGGGAGCAGUGGGGAAUAUUGAACAAUGGGCGCAAGCCUGAUGAAGAGACGCCGCGUGGGGGAUGACGGCCUUCGGGUUGUAAACUCCUUUCGCUAGGGACGAAGCUUUUUGUGACGGUACCUAGAUAAGAAGCACCGGCUAACUACGUG
rnacentral:rRNA from 1 species